GGUGACUGCGUACCUUUUGUAUAAUGGGUCAGCGACUUAUAUUCUGUAGCAAGGUUAACCGUAUAGGGGAGCCGCAGGGAAACCGAGUCUUAACUGGGCGUUAAGUUGCAGGGUAUAGACCCGAAACCCGGUGAUCUAGCCAUGGGCAGGUUGAAGGUUGGGUAACACUAACUGGAGGACCGAACCGACUAAUGUUGAAAAAUUAGCGGAUGACUUGUGGCUGGGGGUGAAAGGCCAAUCAAACCGGGAGAUAGCUGGUUCUCCCCGAAAGCUAUUUAGGUAGCGCCUCGUGAAUUCAUCUUCGGGGGUAGAGCACUGUUUCGGCUAGGGGGUCAUCCCGACUUACCAACCCGAUGCAAACUACGAAUACCGAAGAAUGUUAUCACGGGAGACACACGGCGGGUGCUAACGUCCGUCGUGAAGAGGGAAACAACCCAGACCGCCAGCUAAGGUCCCAAAGUCAUGGUUAAGUGGGAAACGAUGUGGGAAGGCCCAGACAGCCAGGAUGUUGGCUUAGAAGCAGCCAUCAUUUAAAGAAAGCGUAAUAGCUCACUGGUCGAGUCGGCCUGCGCGGAAGAUGUAACGGGGCUAAACCAUGCACCGAAGCUGCGGCAGCGACACUAUGUGUUGUUGGGUAGGGGAGCGUUCUGUAAGCCGUUGAAGGUGGCCUGUGAGGGUUGCUGGAGGUAUCAGAAGUGCGAAUGCUGACAUAAGUAACGAUAAUGCGGGUGAAAAACCCGCACGCCGGAAGACCAAGGGUUCCUGUCCAACGUUAAUCGGGGCAGGGUGAGUCGACCCCUAAGGCGAGGCCGAAAGGCGUAGUCGAUGGGAAACAGGUUAAUAUUCCUGUACUCGGUGUUACUGCGAAGGGGGGACGGAGAAGGCUAUGUUGGCCGGGCGACGGUUGUCCCGGUUUAAGCAUGUAGGCGGAUGUUCCAGGUAAAUCCGGAACGUCACUAACGCUGAGGUGUGAUGACGAGGCACUACGGUGCUGAAGUGACAAAUGCCCUGCUUCCAGGAAAAGCCUCUAAGCAUCAGGUAACAUCAAAUCGUACCCCAAACCGACACAGGUGGUCAGGUAGAGAAUACCAAGGCGCUUGAGAGAACUCGGGUGAAGGAACUAGGCAAAAUGGUGCCGUAACUUCGGGAGAAGGCACGCUGAUGGUAGGUGAAGCGACUUGCUCGUGGAGCUGAAAUCAGUCGAAGAUACCAGCUGGCUGCAACUGUUUAUUAAAAACACAGCACUGUGCAAACACGAAAGUGGACGUAUACGGUGUGACGCCUGCCCGGUGCCGGAAGGUUAAUUGAUGGGGUUAUCCGUAAGGAGAAGCUCUUGAUCGAAGCCCCGGUAAACGGCGGCCGUAACUAUAACGGUCCUAAGGUAGCGAAAUUCCUUGUCGGGUAAGUUCCGACCUGCACGAAUGGCGUAAUGAUGGCCAGGCUGUCUCCACCCGAGACUCAGUGAAAUUGAACUCGCUGUGAAGAUGCAGUGUACCCGCGGCAAGACGGAAAGACCCCGUGAACCUUUACUAUAGCUUGACACUGAACACUGGUCCUUGAUGUGUAGGAUAGGUGGGAGGCUUUGAAGUGUGGACGCCAGUCUGCAUGGAGCCAUCCUUGAAAUACCACCCUUUAAUGGCUGGUGUUCUAACGUGGGCCCCUAAUCGGGGUUGCGGACAGUGUCUGGUGGGUAGUUUGACUGGGGCGGUCUCCUCCUAAAGAGUAACGGAGGAGCACGAAGGUCAGCUAAUCCUGGUCGGACAUCAGGAGGUUAGUGCAAUGGCAUAAGCUGGCUUGACUGCGAGCGUGACGGCGCGAGCAGGUGCGAAAGCAGGUCAUAGUGAUCCGGUGGUUCUGAAUGGAAGGGCCAUCGCUCAACGGAUAAAAGGUACUCCGGGGAUAACAGGCUGAUACCGCCCAAGAGUUCAUAUCGACGGCGGGGUUUGGCACCUCGAUGUCGGCUCAUCACAUCCUGGGGCUGAAGUAGGUCCCAAGGGUAUGGCUGUUCGCCAUUUAAAGUGGUACGCGAGCUGGGUUUAGAACGUCGUGAGACAGUUCGGUCCCUAUCUGCCGUGGGCGCUGGAGAAUUGAGGGGGGCUGCUCCUAGUACGAGAGGACCGGAGUGGACGCAUCACUGGUGUUCGGGUUGUCAUGCCAAUGGCAUUGCCCGGUAGCUAAAUGCGGAAGAGAUAAGUGCUGAAAGCAUCUAAGCACGAAACUUGCCCCGAGAUGAGUUCUCCCUGACUCCUUGA
rnacentral:rRNA from 1 species